AUGACCCCCCAAUUUUCAAUGAUUGACCUCGGAUCAGGUAGGGAUACCCGCUGAACUUAAGCAUAUCAAUAACAGGA
rnacentral:rRNA from 1 species